rnacentral:rRNA from 1 species
UGGGGAAUAUUGGACAAUGGGCGCAAGCCUGAUCCAGCAAUGCCGCGUGUGUGAAGAAGGUCUUAGGAUUGUAAAGCACUUUCGACGGGGACGAUGAUGACGGUACCCGUAGAAGAAGCCCCGGCUAACUUCGUGCCAGCAGCCGCGGUAAUACGAAGGGGGCUAGCGUUGCUCGGAAUGACUGGGCGUAAAGGGCGUGUAGGCGGCAUAUUGAGUCAGAUGUGAAAUUCCCGGGCUUAACCUGGGGGCUGCAUUUGAUACUGAUAGGCUAGAGUUCGGAAGAGGGUCGUGGAAUUUCCAGUGUAGAGGUGAAAUUCGUAGAUAUUGGAAAGAACACCGGUGGCGAAGGCGGCGACCUGGUCCGAUACUGACGCUGAGGCGCGAAAGCGUGGGGAGCAAACAGGAUUAGAUACCCGCGUAGUCC